AAGUCGUAACAAGGUUUCCGUAGGUGAACCUGCGGAAGGAUCAUUAACACGUAUCCAACGUAUCCACCCCUGUGGUCCUGUGCGCGGCUCUAUAUGUAAGUGGUAUAAUCCAACUUUGUGACCUGCGUGGUUGCGAAUUGCAAAUUUGCCUGACCAGAGCAUGUUGAUCUUCGUGAUUGAUAUGACAAAGACCUAAUCAACCUGCGAGGUGGAUGGUUUCUGAUCAGCCAGAUAUGAGACGUUUUAACCAAACCAUUUACCAAAUUGACUAAUUUAGAAAUAAGUACGAUUCGCUCUGCUUUAUUUCGAUAUACGAAACGUAUAACAACUCUUAACAACGGAUAUCUUGGUUCUC
rnacentral:misc_RNA from 1 species